UACAGAGGGGGCAAGCGUUGUUCGGAAUUACUGGGCGUAAAGGGCGCGUAGGCGGCCUUCUAAGUCGAACGUGAAAUCCCCGGGCUCAACCCGGGAACUGCGUCCGAUACUGGAAGGCUUGAAUUCGGGAGAGGGAUGCGGAAUUCCAGGUGUAGCGGUGAAAUGCGUAGAUAUCUGGAGGAACACCGGUGGCGAAGGCGGCAUCCUGGACCGGCAUUGACGCUGAGGCGCGAAAGCGUGGGGAGCAAACGGG
rnacentral:rRNA from 1 species